rnacentral:rRNA from 1 species
CAUUACUGAAGAAACAAGGGUUUUGAGACUGCGUCCUUCAAUUGGGCGUGUGCUCGACUCUUACUCUUUCAUAUCCCAUACACACCUUUGUGCACCAAGGGGACCCUUGUGUCCCCCUUUUUUUCAUAAAUACCGAGUUAUAUGCAUGUAUAGUUUGUAUACUCUACGGAGUUAUUAUAAAUACAACUUUCAACAACGGAUCUCUUGGCUUUCGCAUCGAUGAAGAACGCAGCGAACGUGCGAAACGUAAUGUGAAUUGCAGAAUUCAGUGAAUCAUCGAAUCUUUGAACGCAUCUUGCGCUCCUUGGUAUUCCGAGGAGCAUGCCUGUUUGAGUGUCGUGAAUAACUCUCAAUUUCAAAUAUUUUUUAAAAAAAAGAAUAUCUGACAUUGGACUUGGGCGUUGUCGUGUUUCUACGACUCGUCCUAAAUGCAUUAGCGAUCUGCCCUGAUCACACACAAUGUGAUAAGUAAAAAAUAAAGCAUUGUUAUGGUUGGGUUUGAAAGAUGGCUUCUAACCGUCGUAAUGACAAAUAAAAGACCAUGUCGUUUGACCUCAAAUCAGGCAGGACUACCCGCUGAACUUAAGCAUAUCAAUA